rnacentral:siRNA from 1 species
UUCAAAUGACUGCUAAAUUCC